CCGAGGCUGUCUUACCGGGUUGCGGGAUAUUGUUGACCAGGCCGGCAGGCUGCGGCGCGGCCAGAUUGAUGUCGGUGAUGACCGCAUUCCUCGCAUCGGCGGGACCCACUUCGGCAUAGGCCACGCCGACGAUCUUCACGUACCUGCCGACGCCGGGGAAGUCGAAGCCGCCAAAGGCGACCGUGGGCGCAUUCAUCUGAACGCUGACGAUGCGAGCGUCCGUCGGCGGCGCGCACACUAGAGCGCCCGCAGCCAGGGCGCUUGCAAUGCUGGUAGCGAGCACGCUGCGCUUCGACGGGGGAGAUGCUUUGGAUGGAACCAGGUGCGACAUGACCAUGGUGUUUCCU
rnacentral:misc_RNA from 1 species